GUGGUAAUGCCGGAUGCUCCAUCACACCGCAUGGUGUGUUGGGAAAGCCUUUGCGGCAUGGGAUGGGGUCGCGUCCUAUCAGCUUGAUGGCGGGGUAACGGCCCACCAUGGCUUCGACGGGUAGCCGGCCUGAGAGGGCGACCGGCCACAUUGGGACUGAGAUACGGCCCAGACUCCUACGGGAGGCAGCAGUGGGGAAUAUUGCACAAUGGGCGCAAGCCUGAUGCAGCGACGCCGCGUGAGGGAUGGAGGCCUUCGGGUUGUAAACCUCUUUUGUUAGGGAGCAAGGCACUUUGUGUUGAGUGUACCUUUCGAAUAAGCACCGGCUAACUACGUGCCAGCAGCCGCGGUAAUACGUAGGGUGCAAGCGUUAUCCGGAAUUAUUGGGCGUAAAGGGCUCGUAGGCGGUUCGUCGCGUCCGGUGUGAAAGUCCAUCGCUUAACGGUGGAUCCGCGCCGGGUACGGGCGGGCUUGAGUGCGGUAGGGGAGACUGGAAUUCCCGGUGUAACGGUGGAAUGUGUAGAUAUCGGAAAAGAACACC
rnacentral:rRNA from 1 species